UUGAAAUCUUUGUAAUCUCUCUCAUUUACUUGCAUUCUGAAGUUAUGGGAUUGAGAAUGUAAUGGAGGAUUUAACUGAAAUCUGUGUUGGUUUGUUUUCUAUACGGAUUUAUCUGGUAACUUGCUAUAUGGAGAUAUUUCGUUCUCGACAUCUAGGCUCAAACAGCUCGAGGAAUUGACAUUGAAGAACAAUCAGUUAACAUGGCCUAUCCCUUCAACCCUUUCACAGAUGCCAAUUCUCAAAACUUUGUAAUGUUGCUGUCACUUAUAUUUGAGGUGCUUGUUCUAUUUUGUGGUUUAUGCUUUCUAAUAUCUACUUGAAAACAUUGAAUUAUUUUUUUUCCCCUUCUCAUUUGGGUUUUCUCAGUUACACAUUUGCAUUGGGGGUUUGCCUGAUAGAACAUAACUAAACUACAAUUGUUUGUUUCCAAUGGUGUGGAUUUGUGUGUACAAAGUGAUUUUAAUG